rnacentral:rRNA from 1 species
AUUGAACGCUGGCGGCAUGCUUUACACAUGCAAGUCGAACGGUAACAGGGAGCUUGCUCCGCUGACGAGUGGCGAACGGGUGAGUAAUGCGUCGGAACGUGCCGAGUAGUGGGGGAUAACGCAUCGAAAGGUGUGCUAAUACCGCAUACGAACUGAGGUUGAAAGUGGGGGACCUUCGGGCCUCACGCUAUACGAGCGGCCGACGUCUGAUUAGCUAGUUGGUGAGGUAAAGGCUCACCAAGGCGACGAUCAGUAGCGGGUCUGAGAGGAUGAUCCGCCACACUGGGACUGAGACACGGCCCAGACUCCUACGGGAGGCAGCAGUGGGGAAUUUUGGACAAUGGGGGCAAGCCUGAUCCAGCCAUGCCGCGUGUCUGAAGAAGGCCUUCGGGUUGUAAAGGACUUUUGUCCGGGAGCAAAUGCUGGUGGCUAACAUCCACCGGAGCUGAGAGUACCGGAAGAAUAAGCACCGGCUAACUACGUGCCAGCCGCCGCAGUAACAC